ACUGGUUUGGGUGUUUAGCUGUUAACUAAAAUUUUACGGGAUCGAGGCCCGUCUAUUCAG
rnacentral:tRNA from 1 species